CCGCUCUCAGGGUUGCACCUGGAGAGUUUCCAGUGCUCUACCUGUCACAUCUACAGGAGGGAGAUUCAAGCAGAGGCAUACCCAUUCCAUUUCUAGCUUGAGCAGUGGCUAGCGAGUGGAAGGCAAUCUGCUACAAGU
rnacentral:snoRNA from 2 species